CUGGGACUGAGACACGGCCCAGACUCCUACGGGAGGCAGCAGUGGGGAAUUUUGGACAAUGGGGGAAACCCUGAUCCAGCAAUGCCGCGUGAGUGAAGAAGGCCUUCGGGUUGUAAAGCUCUUUCAGUUGAGAAGAAAAGGUUGUGACUAAUAAUCAUAAUUUAUGACGGUAUCAACAGAAGAAGCACCGGCUAACUACGUGCCAGCAGCCGCGGUAAUACGUAGGGUGCAAGCGUUAAUCGGAAUUACUGGGCGUAAAGGGUGCGCAGGCGGUUAUGUAAGUCAGAUGUGAAAUCCCCGGGCUUAACCUGGGAAUGGCGUU
rnacentral:rRNA from 1 species